AAGUUGGGGGACUGCAUUUCAAGAGACAGUUACCCAGAUGGCAACAUCACAUGGUACAGGAAUGGAAAAGUGCUGCAACCCCUUGAGGACGUGGUGGACAUAAUUUUUAAAAAGGAAGUGGAUCCAGCUACUCAGUUGUAUACUAUGACUUCAUCCUUGGAAUAUAAAACAACCAAGGCUGAUAUACAAAUGCCAUUCUCCUGCUCUGUGACAUAUUAUGGAC